UACGAAGGUCCCAAGCGUUGUUCGGAAUCACUGGGCGUAAAGGGAGCGUAGGCGGCGCGGUAAGUCAGAUGUGAAAUCCCGGGGCUCAACCCCGGAACUGCAUCCGAUACUGCCGUGCUCGAGGAUUGGAGAGGUAGCUGGAAUUCUUGGUGUAGCAGUGAAAUGCGUGGAUAUCAAGAGGAACACGCGUGGCGAAAGCGAGCUACUGGACAACUCCUGACGCUGAGGCUCGAAGGCCAGGGGAGCGAAAGGG
rnacentral:rRNA from 1 species